rfam:Escovopsis weberi scaffold00002, whole genome shotgun sequence.
GGUGAGAUGGCCGAGCGGUUAUGGCGCCAGGUUAAGGUUACCUUAACAGGAAUUCCUGGUGGAGCAAUCCUCGUGGGUUCGAAUCCCACUCUCAUCA